UGCCCCAUGGCUGAGUUGGUUACAGCGUCCGACUGUUAUUCAAGCAUCUGGCAUCGGAAGGUCGUGAGUUCGAGCCUCACUGGGGCAG